rnacentral:rRNA from 2 species
CUAGCGUAAAAUAUUACUGCUGCGGUUAAAAAGCUCGUAGUUGAAUCUAGUCGUGUCCGUAGGGUUUGUCGUUGGCGUUUAUUCGUCUCUGGCGUUAAUCCUCGGCCGAUUUUUGCUGGUUUACUGUUGGUCUUCGGAUCUUCGGUGGCUAGCGAGUUACUUUGAUCAAAUCAGAGUGCUCAAAACAGGCGAAAGCUUGUAUGAUUUCUCGAGGAAUAACAGAAGAGGACUUCGGUUCUAUUUGUUGGUUCCAGAAUCGUUUAAUGGUUAAGAGGGACAAUUCGGGGGCAAACGUAUCCUCGCGCGAGGGGUGAAAUCCGUAGACCGUGAGGAGACGACCAAUAG